UACAGAGGUCCCAAGCGUUGUUCGGAUUCAUUGGGCGUAAAGGGUGCGUAGGCGGCGCGGUAAGUCGGGUGUGAAAUCUCGGUGCUUAACUCCGAAACUGCAUUCGAUACUGCCGUGCUUGAGGACUGGAGAGGAGACUGGAAUUUACGGUGUAGCGGUGAAAUGCGUAGAUAUCGUAAGGAAGACCAGUGGCGAAGGCGGGUCUCUGGACAGUUCCUGACGCUGAGGCACGAAGGCCAGGGGAGCAAACAGG
rnacentral:rRNA from 1 species